rnacentral:rRNA from 1 species
UACAGAGGUCUCAAGCGUUGUUCGGAUUCAUUGGGCGUAAAGGGUGCGUAGGCGGCGCGGUAAGUCGGGUGUGAAAUCUUGGAGCUUAACUCCGAAACUGCAUUCGAUACUGCCGUGCUUGAGGACUGGAGAGGAGACUGGAAUUUACGGUGUAGCGGUGAAAUGCGUAGAUAUCGUAAGGAAGACCAGUGGCGAAGGCGGGUCUCUGGACAGUUCCUGACGCUGAAGCACGAACGCCAGGGGAGCAAACGGG